GGAUCUUUAGCUCAAAGGGUAGAGCACUUGAAAAUGGCUCAAGAGAUGGUGGUUCAAAUCCACCAAGGUCCU
rnacentral:tRNA from 1 species